GCCAGAUGAACUAUGAAGCAACUCAACAAACUGGAAUCUACUGUGCUUGGAACAUGAAUGCUAUCAAACAGCACUUAUGCCUUUGAAACCUACAGGAAGGAUCUGGUUCACUGUGAUAGACACCCUCCUGAUGUCUAAGGAAAACAGAACGAUAUAAUCCAGAGGAAAGUAACACCAAUAGGAGGAGACAGCAAUAAACUGAAGGAGGACAAUCAUGC